UGAUGACACGUGGCAUCUCAUCCUCUCCUCUUUUUUCCUUUGAGCGGCAAAUUAUUUCUUCCUUCCUACGCUCUUUUUGUUUUUGAAACUGCCAGAAUUUUGGAAACUAAUCAAUUCUCUCAAUCAAUUGAAAUCAUUAUCCACCCAAACCCUAAAUCAUUCUUUCAACGGUUUCUCUCUGGCUUCACUCUACAUCCUCUUCAAAUCAAACUUGGAUCCAUGGAUUAUUUUCAAUGAAGAAUCUAACUAAUGUUGUAAGUUAUUAUCAUUCAGAUGAAAUUCAUGGUUGAUAUAGAACUUUGGAUCCCAUAUGCUUUCUAUCCAUAUGUUGUUGUUGAGGAAGAUUCAGGCGCUGGUGUUAGAGGCAAGAGUAUGUUCAUAUCCAUAUACAGCAAAGAAAUGGUAGGAAAUGUUCAGGGUAUGAAAAAGGGAAAUCUUGGGGAAAGGGAGGUUCUUAAAUGCUUUAGGGUUGCCAAUAGCCUGGUGAAGAGUACCAUGUGUUAAGUCUCAUGCAUUAAACUCGAUGCAUUCGUGGAUUUUCUGGAUGUAGCAGAUUAUUGGUCUAUGCUCAGUUUACGGAGGCAACCUUUAAUUGAUUCUAAACUUUUGACAUUGUUAAUGAAGUUUGAUCUUUUUUUGUUAAAGAUUGUUGGGGUUCGAUCUUUUUUGUUAAAGAUUGUUGGUGUUUGAUUGUUGCAGAGAUUAAUGGCUUUGAAGAAGGCGUAUGCGAAUAUUAUUCUGAACACGGAGAAAGAAGUAGCGAAGAGGAUUAUGGUGUCUGAUCGGAAAGCUGUUAUGUUGGAGUACGAGCUUAAAGUUGCUAAAGAAGAUGCGGUUCAGAUGCUUAUGAGGAUUAAACAGAUGAUGGA